rnacentral:rRNA from 1 species
UUGAUCGACCUCAGCUCAGACGUGACGACCCGCUGAAUUUAAGCAUAUUACUAAGCGGAGGAAAAGAAACUAACCAGGAUUCCCUCAGUAACGGCGAGUGAAGAGGGAAGAGCCCGCGCCGAAUCCCCGCCCGCCCCUACCCGGGCGUGGGAAAUUGGCGUACGGAGACCGCCUUCCCGGUGUCGACGGGGGCCCAAGUCCUUCUGAUCGAGCCCCCGUGGACGGUGUGAGGCCGGUGGCGGCCCUCGUCGCGCCGGGAUCAGGUCUCCUUGGAGUCGGGUUGUUUGGGAAUGCAGCCCAAAGCGGGUGUAAACUCCAUCCAGGCUAAAUACCGGCACAGACCGAUAGCCAACAAGUACCG